AUACGGAGGACGCGAGCGUUAUCCGGAUUUAUUGGGUUUAAAGGGUGCGUAGGCUGUGCGUUAAGUCAGGGGUGAAAUGCCGUCGCUCAACGACGGAGCUGCCCUUGAUACUGGCGUGCUGGAGUACGGAUGCCGUUGGAGGCAUGAGUGGUGUAGCGGGGGAAUGCUUAGAUAUCACUCAGAACACCGAUUGCGAAGGCAUCUGACGAAUCCGUCACUGACGCUGAGGCACGAAAGCGUGGGGAUAGAACAGGAUUAGAUACCCUGGUACUCCACGCCGUAAACGAUGAUGACUAACCGUCGGCGAUAGACAGCCGGUGGCCAAGCGAAAGCGAUAAGUCAUCCACCUGGGGAGUACGUCGGCAACGAUGAAACUCAAAUGAAUUGACGGGG
rnacentral:rRNA from 1 species